CUCCGGUGAUCCUGCCGGACCCGACUGCUAUCAGAGUGGGACUAAGCCAUGCGAGUCAACAUAGCAAUAUGUGGCAUACGGCUCAGUAACACGUAGUCAACAUGCCCAGGGGACGUGGAUAACCUCGGGAAACUGAGGAUAAACCGCGAUAAGUCACUACUUCUGGAAUGGGUAAUGACUCAAAUCUACAUGGCCCCUGGAUUGGACUGCGGCCGAUCAGGCUGUUGGUGAGGUAAUGGCCCACCAAACCUGUAACCGGUACGGGCUCUGAGAGGAGGAGCCCGGAGAUGGGCACUGAGACAAGGGCCCAGGCCCUAUGGGGCGCAGCAGGCGCGAAACCUCUGCAAUAGGCGAAAGCCUGACAGGGUUACUCUGAGUGAUUUCCGUUAAGGAGAUCUUUUGGCACCUCUAAAAAUGGUGCAGAAUAAGGGGUGGGCAAGUCUGGUGUCAGCCGCCGCGGUAAUACCAGCACCCCGAGUGGUCGGGACGUUUAUUGGGCCUAAAGCAUCCGUAGCCGGUUCUACAAGUCUUCCGUUAAAUCCACCUGCUUAACAGAUGGGCUGCGGAAGAUACUAUAGAGCUAGGAGGCGGGAGAGGCAAGCGGUAUUCGAUGGGUAGGGGUAAAAUCCGUUGAUCCAUUGAAGACCACCAGUGGCGAAGGCGGCUUGCCAGAACGCGCUCGACGGUGAGGGAUGAAAGCUGGGGGAGCAAACCGGAUUAGAUACCCGGGUAGUCCCAGCUGUAAACGAUGCAGACUCGGUGAUGAGUUGGCUUCUUGCCAACUCAGUGCCGCAGGGAAGCCGUUAAGUUUGCCGCCUGGGGAGUACGGUCGCAAGACUGAAACUUAAAGGAAUUGGCGGGGGAGCA
rnacentral:rRNA from 1 species